GGGUGUGCAAGAAUCAGUAAAUUGACAGUUAUAUAGAUUUGCAUGGUGCUAGUGUAAAAUUUUGAAAAAUUCCAAACUUUUCUUAGAAAAGUUGAAAGCAAAGUUAUUGAUUACAGUUUCCAUGUCGAGUGACAAGGUAGUAGAAUUCUAGAUAAUAUGAAGAAAGAUAAACUUUUUCUAUUCUUUAAGGAUGAUUCUGCAUCAUGUGAUCAUGCAUUCACUUUAUAUACUAGCUGUAUUGGUGUACAAAGCAAGCUUACAACAAUAACCAACUUUUAUUAUAUAAAUCUAUUACAUAAUAUAGAUAUAUAUAGCUACUAACUGAAGGUUUUCUGCAUUAGCUGACAAAUUUGACACACAACAAUACCCUGACGUAGGGAAGCUUUGCUUCUAUGCUCUUUUCACAUUCCAUGGUUAUAUUUUAGGUUUUAUGUUUGGUGGAUGUUCCGUGAUCUUGUGCAAUUUCUCUUCCCCCCUUUGCCUUUCUAUCAAUAGCCAAGUAUUCAUAGCAAUUUAUUUGCUUAUUGGGGGUAAUA
rnacentral:lncRNA from 1 species